UGGGGAAUAUUGCACAAUGGGCGCAAGCCUGAUGCAGCGACGCCGCGUGGGGGAUGACGGCCUUCGGGUUGUAAACCUCUUUCACCAUCGACGAAGGUCCGGGUUUUCUCGGAUUGACGGUAGGUGGAGAAGAAGCACCGGCCAACUACGUGCCAGCAGACGCGGUAAUACGUAGGGUGCGAGCGUUGUCCGGAAUUACUGGGCGUAAAGAGCUCGUAGGUGGUUUGUCGCGUUGUUCGUGAAAUCUCACGGCUUAACUGUGAGCGUGCGGGCGAUACGGGCAGACUAGAGUACUGCAGGGGAGACUGGAAUUCCUGGUGUAGCGGUGGAAUGCGCAGAUAUCAGGAGGAACACCGGUGGCGAAGGCGGGUCUCUGGGCAGUAACUGACGCUGAGGAGCGAAAGCGUGGGGAGCGAACAGG
rnacentral:rRNA from 2 species